CAGUAGCCGCGGUAACACGAAGGGUGCAAGCGUUAAUCGGAAUUACUGGGCGUAAAGCGCACGCAGGCGGUUUGUUAAGUCAGAUGUGAAAUCCCCGAGCUUAACUUGGGAACUGCAUUUGAGACUGUAUGGCUAGAGUGUGUCAGAGGGGGGUAGAAUUCCACGUGUAGCAGUGAAAUGCGUAGAGAUCGGGAGGAACAUCAGUGGCGAAGGCGGCCAUCUGGGACAACACUGACGCUGAGGCACGAAAGCGUGGGGAGCAAACAGGAUUAGAUACCCCUGUAGUCCCUGUCUCUUAUAC
rnacentral:rRNA from 1 species